rnacentral:rRNA from 1 species
GACGCACCGCUUCGGUGGUGAGUGGCGAACGGGUGAGUAAUACAUAAGUAACCUGGCCUUUCGAGGGGGAUAACUAUUGGAAACGAUAGCUAAGACCGCAUAGGCAUAAUUCUCGCAUGAGAGUUAUGUUAAAUAUCCUAUGGGAUAGCGAGAGGAUGGACUUAUGGCGCAUUAGCUAGUUGGUGAGGGUAACGGCCCACCAAGGCGACGAUGCGUAGCCGACCUGAGAGGGUGGACGGCCACACUGGGACUGAGACACGGCCCAGACUCCUACGGGAGGCAGCAGUAGGGAAUUUUCGGCAAUGGGCGAAAGCCUGACCGAGCAACGCCGCGUGAGGGGGGUAGUAUUUCGGUAUGUAAACCUCUGUUAUAAAGGAAGAACGGCGCAUGUAGGGAAUGACAUGCGAGUGACGGUACUUUAUGAGAAAGCCACGGCUAACUACGUGCCAGCAGCCGCGGUAAUACGUAGGUGGCGAGCGUUAUCCGGAAUCAUUGGGCGUAAAGAGGGAGCAGGCGGCAACUAGGGUCUGCGGUAAAAGACCGAAGCUAAACUUCGGUAAGCCGUGGAAACCGAGGAGCUAGAGUGCAGUAGAGGAUCGUGGAAUUCCAUGUGUAGCGGUGAAAUGCGUAGAUAUAUGGAGGAACACCAGUGGCGAAGGCGACGAUCUGGGCUGCAACUGACGCUCAGUCCCGAAAGCGUGGGGAGCAAAUAGGAUUAGAUACCCUAGUAGUC